UGUUCUCAUAGAAUUCAAAGAGUAUAUAUAUGAACGAUAAUCAGUAUUAAGAGAACAUCUUCCCAUUAUUAUAAGAAGGAUUUACAUUCUAAAAAGAGAUUAAAGAUGAAAGUAGCCUUAUUUCUCUUGGCUCUGUCCAUUUUGGUUGUGAAUGGUGCUUCUAAAGUUAAGCUAUGCAACUAUAAUGGAAAAAAUUAUCGUCGAGGACAAACUGCCUUAAUGUUACCCUUCUGUUGUACUAAAAUGGUGUGUUCGUCAAACGGGUACUUUAGCUACCCUACUUAUGGAAAAGGCAAAAAAUGCGGCUGUUGUAUCGAUCCAUUCAAUAAGAACAACUUUAUUUCUGAUGGACAAUAUGGACGAUUGAAAGGCUGCUUAAGAUAUUUUUGUAGCCAUGGAAGACAUGUUUUGACCACUCAUUUUAAGCGUUAAUAUUUUUUCAUGGCUCACAUUUUUAACAAAUAUAUACUGUUUAAAAUAAAACAACACUUUGCAUCACUGAAAUAAAUUCUUGCUGAUCAAA
rnacentral:lncRNA from 1 species